ensembl:lncRNA
GUAAAAGUGAAAAACCCUUAAAAUAUUAAAGAAGUAAUAUUAAAUGAAUGCAUUUAGUAACUAGAUGAUGCAUACAACAUGUACGCAAGUUCAAGGGAUGUUUGUUUUUCCGAGGACGUCAGUCUGAAGGCUCUUACGUGGCUGAACGAGAACACUGGGCCGUCAGGUGGUCUUUUCACGUGUUGAUCGACAAACGACUGUGGGUGAGGAGCGCUGGAAGGUAGAGUCGACGUCUGCGCCGCUCUGAGCACCGUGGGAAGCAGCAGGGGCGGACUUGCCCAGGGGCCGGCCGGCCUCAUCACACCCGCGGCCACAGCCGGGAGCCAACCCCGGAUGACCUGCCGCCCGCCUGGUAACCACCGCUUCACAGAGUCCUGAGCUGCUGCAGCACUGCUCUGGUUUGCUGCCUCUGCUCAUCGUUGAAAGAGGUGCUGGGUUUCAGUUAGCAGUUCGUUAGCAAUGAUGUGACUUCCCCCAUCUCGACACCGUGCUUGAGAACACCUGCUUUAGACGCAACUUCCUGUUUACAGGCGAUGCUGGGGAGAGAGGAAACGGCUAAGUGACACUCCAAGGAGUCAAUCUGACAAGUCCGAGCUGGGGGCCUUCUACACCGAUCCGCCAUCUUCAGACUGUCUCGGAAAGAAAAUUCAGAGGCGAGUGGGGAUGUUCCGCUCCAACAGGACCAAGGGGACCUGGCACCGAGGGGGACGUGGGCCUUGACUGGACAAUGAUUCCAAAAAUCAGCUCCAUAUGACACAUUGGGACAACUGGGGAAACCUGCGGGUGCCUUAGCACUAAUCAAGGCCGCGGCCCCACGCUCUGCCGGCAGACACUGGUCUGCACAGCCCGUGCACUCGCAGUGCUUCACGGAGCAGCAAACGACAGCCUGUUAACCCCGGGCCCUCGAGGACACGUGCAGCUCACGCUCACGCAGGGCGCGGUCCCGCCACCGAGGCCCAGGCGUCUGGAAAGCACCCGAGCGCGGCCGUGAGCCGAGAGGCGCUGCUUUCACGCAGCACUGGUUUCCUUGGACGAACAACUGGGCAUUCAGACUUGGGCGCUGGGGAGACAUUUUCUGAAAAACGAAUCAUGAACCCGUCACUUCAGGGAAAAAAAUCGACAGUUUUUGUUGAUGACAUGAUUCAAACUUUCAAGCAAAAAUUUUCUCAAAACCCAGAAAGCUUGGAUUGACCACCAUGAGCUUGACAGCCUCCAAACCUUCAGGACUGUCCUGAGGAGAGAGGUGGAGGGGCGGAUGGAGGUGGUAUUUCGAUCGUAUAUUGCUCGGAGCCGUCACCCUACAAGUUAAGCCUCUGCCUUGUGACACGGUCAGGGAGAGAGAUGAGGGGACGCACGGCGACCCUCAAGGGAUUCUACCAGGCUGCCCCUGCAACGAGUCUCCCUGGUACUUCUGACUUUUCUGCUUCUGCUCACUCUGUUCUACACCUGGGGUUAUUUCAGGGGAAGUCAGCCCGGCCCUGGGAAUGAGAAUGAUACAAUGCAAUAUUCUAGGGAAAGUUCUGGGGAAAAACAUCUUCUAGGGAAAGAACAUUCUGACCCAUCCUUUGGUCGGGUGAAGCGAUGGGAGUGGAGAGGGAACAAAGAAAUCUGUAGCCCCGACAGAUCUCUUGAGGAGGACGGUGGUUGCCACGGCCCAUUGAGUCAGGAGGCCGCUGGGGGUAGCCUCCUUGAAGUAAAGAAUUACAGAAGCUUGACUCCCCCCGGGGCCUACACACAAUCAAUUACUCUUAGGACUAUUGUCUACCUUGCAAAAACCCAUUUACGCGAGCCAAAAAUAUGUACUGGGACUGUUUCACGAAAUCAUCCUUGCAUAUCCUGAGCCCUAUAUAAAUCAUACAUACACAAAAUAAAGUUAGACUUGGACACCAAACUCCUUGUCUCACUGCCUCCUCCUUUGCCGACGCCGUCCAUCCCUCAGGAGACCCUGUCCGGCUGGGGCUGGACCCCGGCAGUAUAUAAUGAAUGUGUCAACACUGGGAGGGUCUGAGGAACUCGGUGAACCCGUUUUCCAAACGGCCCACGCGCGGCCGUGCCUGGCAGAAGAUCCAGUCAAAGACAGACAGACAGUGGACUUCGAUGCAACAGAACGUGACAAGGACAAGUUCAAUGGUAUAGUUUCAGAUUGUACGUUGCAAGGAACCCUCGCUGAGUUCUGGUGUGGUAACAAAGAGGAAAAUCACGAGCCUCUGAAAAGGCUGUCCACAUCCCCCUCCCAUUUCCAACUACGCAUCAGGAGCCGGGUCUCUCCUUACUCUCCAACCAAAGCCCGUUACGGCAGACGGGAC